rnacentral:rRNA from 1 species
GGGUGCGAUCAUACUAGCGUUAGUGCACCUGAUCCCAUCAGAAGUCCGCAAUUAAGCGUGCUUGGGCUGGAGUAGUACUAGGAUGGGUGACCUCCCAGGAAGUCCUAGUGUUGCACCCUC